GGGAGACCAGGACUGAGAAGAGGAAGUGACCAGCCCUCUGAAAAGACUUUAGGGGAGACAAUUAGUCAGUGAGGAGAUAAGAAAGCAGCCAUGGACAGCUGGAGGUCAUUUGCUUCUGGGAUCUCUAGAGAGCAGGAGAUGAGGAAACCUCAUCUCAGAGAAGUGACGUCACUUGCGCAAGACCACAAAAGUGACACUCCAGACACUGAGUUCUCUUCAUGUUGCUCCCACUUGAGGUUUCAAUUUCACGCCCCCAAAAAGUGGCCCACUCAAAUAAUUUUAUCAAAUGCCUGUUUAUAACAAGCAUAUCCCAACUCCCUUUACAUCUCUGAAGAUCAAAACACCCCUCCCCUAUAUAUAUUUUUGUCUCCUAUUAGAAUUAGAAUUAGCUCCUUGAAGGUAGGAAUUCUCUUAAAAUAUUUGUAUCUUUAGCACUUAGUUCAAUUCCUGAUACAUAGUAAAUACCUUUUUGUUCAUUCAGUUUGCCACAUUAUUAUUUUUGUCUCUGUUUCCCUUUGAACCCCAAAUAAAAUUAGUCAGCAAUC